UGUAUAAUGGGUCAGCGACUUAUAUUCUGUAGCAAGGUUAACCGAAUAGGGGAGCCGAAGGGAAACCGAGUCUUAACUGGGCGUUAAGUUGCAGGGUAUAGACCCGAAACCCGGUGAUCUAGCCAUGGGCAGGUUGAAGGUUGGGUAACACUAACUGGAGGACCGAACCGACUAAUGUUGAAAAAUUAGCGGAUGACUUGUGGCUGGGGGUGAAAGGCCAAUCAAACCGGGAGAUAGCUGGUUCUCCCCGAAAGCUAUUUAGGUAGCGCCUCGUGAAUUCAUCUCCGGGGGUAGAGCACUGUUUCGGCAAGGGGGUCAUCCCGACUUACCAACCCGAUGCAAACUGCGAAUACCGGAGAAUGUUAUCACGGGAGACACACGGCGGGUGCUAACGUCCGUCGUGAAGAGGGAAACAACCCAGACCGCCAGCUAAGGUCCCAAAGUCAUGGUUAAGUGGGAAACGAUGUGGGAAGGCCCAGACAGCCAGGAUGUUGGCUUAGAAGCAGCCAUCAUUUAAAGAAAGCGUAAUAGCUCACUGGUCGAGUCGGCCUGCGCGGAAGAUGUAACGGGGCUAAACCAUGCACC
rnacentral:rRNA from 1 species